rnacentral:rRNA from 1 species
UGGUGAGGUAACGGCUCACCAAGUCAGCGAUCCAUAGCUGGUUUGAGAGGAUGAUCAGCCACACUGGGACUGAGACACGGCCCAGACUCCUACGGGAGGCAGCAGUGGGGAAUAUUGGACAAUGGGGGCAACCCUGAUCCAGCCAUGCCGCGUGAGUGAAGAAGGCCUUCGGGUUGUAAAGCUCUUUCAGAUGCGAAGAUGAUGACGGUAACAUCAGAAGAAGCCCCGGCUAAUUUCGUGCCAGCAGCCGCGGUAAUACGAAAGGGGCUAGCGUUGUUCGGAUUUACUGGGCGUAAAGGGCACGCAGGCGGUCUUGCCAGUCAGGGGUGAAAGCCCGGGGCUCAACCCCGGAACUGCCUCUGAUACUGCAAGACUAGAGACUAGGAGAGGGUGGUGGAAUUCCCAGUGUAGAGGUGAAAUUCGUAGAUAUUGGGAGG